rnacentral:rRNA from 1 species
GAGACUCUGUGCGCGUGCAUAUCAAUAAGCGGAGGAAAAGAAACUAACAAGGAUUCCCUUAGUAACGGCGAGUGAAGCGGGAAGAGCUCAAAUUUGAAAUCUUCAAGGUUCUACCUUGACGAAUUGUAGUUUAUAGAAGUGUUUUCUGUUAGUAGAGUGGCAAAAGUUCUUUGGAAUAGGACAUCAUAGAGGGUGAGAAUCCCGUAUUUGGUCAUUCUUUCUAGCUUUGUGAUACACUUUCAACGAGUCGGAUUGUUUGGGAAUGCAGUCCAAAAUGGGUGGUAAAUUUCAUCUAAAGCUAAAUAUUGGCGAGAGACCGAUAGCGAACAAGUACCGUGAGGGAAAGAUGAAAAGAACUUUGAAAAGAGAGUUAAACAGUACGUGAAGUUGUCAAAAGGGAAGUGUUUGACACCAGUGUUGUUUUUCCGAAAAUCAAUUACGAAUGUUUUAGUUUUUGAGAAGUUAUGACUUCAUCGGCUUGCUUCUCUCUUUAUGAAACUUUCUUAAUGCACUUUUCGGUUAACAAGUCAACAUCAAUUUCUUUUGUUGUAAAAGGGUACGAGGAAGGUGGCUUUCUUUUCGGAGAAAGUGUUUAUAGCCUUGUACCUCUGCAAUCGGAGAGAUUGAGGUCUGCAGCGUAGAUCCUUCGGGGUUAGAUACAUUUGUGCUAAGCUAUAGUUCUUUCAUAGACAACUUGUUGACUAUAGUCAAGUCCUGUAGCUUACUCGCUUAUGCUAUUUUACCUACGCUUAGGAUGUUGAACUCUAUCACACACAG